UUCUGGUUGAUCCUGCCAGCAGUUAUAUGAUUGUCUCAAAGAUUACGCCCUGCAUGUCUAAGUACACACGAAUUAAAAGUGAAACCGCAAAAGGCUCAUUAUAUUAGUUAUGGUUCCUUAGAUCGUUAACAGUUAAUUGGAUAACUGUGGUAAUUCUAGAGCUAAUACAUGCAAUUAAAAGUAUCUAGGACUACCAUGGUUGCAACGGGUAACGGGGAAUCAGGGUUCGAUUCCGGAGAGGAAGCCUGAGAAACGGCUACCACAUCUAAGGAAGGCAGCAGGCGCGUAAAUUACCCACUCCCAGCUCGGGGAGGUAGUGACGAAAUAUAACAAUACAGGACUCAUAUCCGAGGACCUGUAAUUGGAAUGAGCACACUUUAAGUCCUUUAACAAGGACCAAUUGGAGGGCAAGUCUGGUGCCAGCAGCCGCGGUAAUUCCAGCUCUAAUGGCGUAUAUUAAAGUUGUUGCGGUUAAAACGUUCGUAGUUGAGCUUGUUCUUCAUACGGGUAGUACAACUUACAAUUGUGGUUAGUACUAUACCUUUAUGUAUUUAAGCGUAUUACCGGUGGAGUUCUUAUAUCUGAUUAAAUACUUGUAUUUUUUCAUAUGUUCCUCCUAUUUAAAAACCUGCAUUAGUGUUCUUAAACGAGUGUUAUUGUGGGCCGGUACUAUUACUUUGAACAAAUUAGAGUGAAAUAAGACCUCUGUUCUGCUUUCAUUGGUUUUCAGAUCAAGAGGUAAUGAUUAAUAGAAGCAGUUUGGGGGCAUUAGUAUUACGACGCGAGAGGUGAAAUUCUUGGACCGUCGUAAGACUAACUUAAGCGAAAGCAUUUGCCAAAGAUGUUUUCAUAAAUAAAGAACGAAAGAGGUUCGAAGGCGAUCAGAUACCGCCCUAGUUCUAACUAUAAACGAUGCCAGCUAGCAAUUGGGUGUAGCUACUUUUAUGGCUCUCUCAGUCGCUUCCCGAGAGACCAAAGCUUUUGGGCUCCGGGGGAAGUAUGGUUGCAAAGCUGAAACUUAAAGGAAUUGACGGAAGGGCACCACCGGCUUAAUUUGACUCAACACGGGAAAACUUACCAGGUCCGAACAUAAGUGCGUAAGGCAGAUUGAUAGCUCUUUCUCGAAUCUAUGGGUGGUGGUGCAUGGCCGUUCUUAGUUCGUGGAGUGAUUUGUCUGGUUAAUUCCGAUAACGAACGAGGCUCAAAUAUAUUAAAUAGAUAUCUUCAGGAUUAUGGUGCUGAAGCUUAAUAGCCUUCAUUCAUUGCAAUAAAAUGUUUAUUGUGUUUGAAUAUGUUUAUGUAAGUGGAGCCGUACCUGUUGGUUUGUCCCAUUAUAAGGACACUAGCUUCUUAAAUGGAUAAAUUACGUCUAGCAAUAAUGAGUUUGAGCAAUAACAGGUCUGUGAUGCCCUUAGAUGUCCUGGGCUGCACGCGCGCUACAAUGAAAGUAUCAACGUGUAUUUCCGAGAGGUCCGGGUAAACUGCUCAACCACUUUCAUGCUUGGGAUUGUGAGCUGAAACUGUUCACAUGAACUUGGAAUUCCCAGAAGGUGUGAGUCAUUAACUCGCAUUGAUUACGUCCUUGCCAUUUGUACACACCGCCCGUUGCUACUACCGAUUGAAUUAUUUAGUGAGGUCUCCGGACGUGAUUACUGUGACGCCUUGCGUGUUACGGUUGUUUCGCAAAAGUUGACCGAACUUGAUUAUUUAGAGGAAGUAAAAGUCGUAAAAAGGUUUCCGUAGGUGAACCUGCGGAAG
rnacentral:rRNA from 1 species